rnacentral:rRNA from 1 species
AAAACAUAGCCUAUAGAAUAUAUUAUAGGUAUAUUUUGCCCAAUGUAUAAUUUAAUAAAUGGCCGCAGUACUUUGACUGUGCUAAGGUAGCAAAAUAAUUUGACUUUUAAUUGGAGCCCAGUAUGAAAGGAAUUAUGUUAGAGAAUUGUCUUUAUAGAAGAUUAUAAAAUUUACUUAUUUGGUGAAAAUACCAAAAGGAAAAUAUUAGACGAGAAGACCCUUAGAAUUUUAAGAAAAUUUAUAAUAAUCUUUUAUCAUGCUUUUUGUUGGGGCGACAAAGUAAACAAUAAUUAUUUCACAACUUACUUUUCUUAUAUACACCUAUAAAUUAAUAAAGAAAAUAAUUACCUAAGGGAUAACAGCAUAAUAAAUUUAUUUUGUUUGUGACCUCGAUGUUGGAUUAGGGACUAUUGUGGUUAGAAAUUAUAAUAGAAUCUUCUGUUCGAAGAACUUUUACCUACGUGAUCU